rnacentral:rRNA from 1 species
AUUGAACGCUGGCGGCAGGCCUAACACAUGCAAGUCGAACGAGUGGCGGACGGGUGAGUAAUGUCUGGGAAACUGCCCGAUGGAUGGGGAUAACUACUGGAAACGGUAGCUAAUACCGCAUACCAUCGGAUGUGCCCAGAUGGGAUUAGCUAGUAGGUGGGGUAACGGCUAACCUAGGCGACGAUCCCUAGCUGGUCUGAGAGGAUGACCAGCAACACUGGAACUGAGAAAAGGUCCAGACUCCUACGGUAGGAAGCAGUGGGGAAUAUUGGACAAUGGGAGCAAGCCUGAUGCAGCCAUGCCGCGGGUAUGAAGAAGGCCUUAGGGUUGUAAAGUACUUUCAGCGAGGAGGCGUUACUCGCAGAAGAAGCACCGGCUAACUCCGUGCCAGCAGCCGCGGUAAUAC